ACAUUCAAAUGAGCGAUGAAUUAAGGCGUGUGCUUGAGAUCCCAGGCGUAAUUCAACCCCUUUCCCUGUUAACUUGGGGACUUUGAGCCAACCUGAUGGGUCAUUGCAUCGUCAUAUCCAAGACUCCGUAUCUUCCCUUCAUUCAUAUGCGGAGGUCGCAAUUUGCGACCUAAUCUGGUUCUCAAAAAUUAAUGAUAAAAUGAUGGCGAAAUCAAAGAACAUGGACGCCCCCCCGAAACCCCCGUGCAAGGAAAGAGGGAUCAGUGACGGCUUUCUCGGAUUCAAAGGGGGAACCGACGGCGAGGAUGGUGGUGCCCAGUCGGACCGGGAACCACUGCCGCCGGCGGUGGAGGGCAGAUAAGUUCGGGAUCCCCGGCAGGCCCGGUCACUGGCCGGUACGGGACGCCGUCGAUUCUCGCUGUUUCGAAUCUCACCCUAGACUCGUUUCUGCCUUCCUCGCUCAACCUUAACUCGCUUUACAUUCUUGCUUUGCAUUGUCUGAUUCAAGUUUGUGAGAACUGCACUAAGGUGUUGAAAACUGCUUUGCUAUCAAAUAAACAAGCUGGUGGGUUAGGAUUUGGAUGUACUGGUUUCUGACCUACAGAAGAGGGAUCACGAGGAAGGUCUUAAUGGGUGGUUAAUACCGCAAGAUCUACACUUUAAUUUAGGUAUGCUAGCAUACAAGAUUGCUUGGUCAUAUUGUAUAUUAAUUCAUGUGGUCGCACGCGAUUUGAAAGGUAAAGCUGGCGUAGUCAUUCAACAGUACAGUGUAUGGGUGGUCCCGAACUUGGCAGCACCAGUAUAUCACAGGGUAGUCUUGGAUGACUAUAUAAGAUUUCUUACUUUGCUCUUGGUCUCAAUGAGAGUUGUUUGCUGACUGCUGUAUGUAUUGACAUCCAGGCCUGGCUUUCAUACAGGAAGAAUUUAAUAUUGUUCCAUCCCCUUCCCCACCCUUCUCUGAGGUCUUUCUUUUUGUUGUAAUGACUCAGUUGUGUAAAUUGAGAUACUGAAUGGAUAAAAGUUCUUUCAUCCAUAUUUUUUAAACACAGAAAGGUUCUCAUGAUCUUGCAAGAGGAUGAUAUUGUAAAUAAGAGUGCUGAGCUUCUUCUAAUGUCUAGGCAAAUGGAUCUUCCAUCAGAUCAAAAGGAAAAGAAAGAAGAUCAUGCCAAUUGAUUGGUUAUAUAAAUUAUUUUUUUGCCCCACUUUUGUA